rnacentral:rRNA from 1 species
CCUACGGGGUGCAGCAGUGGGGAAUAUUGCGCAAUGGGCGAAAGCCUGACGCAGCGACGCCGCGUGAGGGAUGAAGGUCUUCGGAUCGUAAACCUCUGUCAGCAGGGAAGAACGGUCACUGUGCUAAUCAGCAGUGAAUUGACGGUACCUGCAAAGGAAGCAACGGCUAACUCCGUGCCAGCAGCCGCGGUAAUACGGAGGGUGCGAGCGUUAAUCGGAAUUACUGGGCGUAAAGCGCUCGUAGGCGGUAUGUCAAGUCAAGGGGGAAAUCCCCGCGCUCAACGUGGGAACUGCCUGUGAAACUGGCAAACUGGAGUGUGUGAGAGGAUAGUGGAAUUCCAGGUGUAGGAGUGAAAUCCGUAGAUAUCUGGAGGAACAUCAGUGGCGAAGGCGACUAUCUGGCACAUAACUGACGCUGAGGAGCGAAAGCGUGGGUAGCAAACAGGAUUAGAUACCCGGGUAGUC